UAAGGAAUAUUGGUCAAUGGACGUAAGUCUGAACCAGCCAUGCCGCGUGAAGGAUGAAGGUCCUCUGGAUUGUAAACUUCUUUUAUCUGGGACGAAAACGGGAUUUUUAUCUCAAUUGACGGUACCAGAGGAAUAAGCACCGGCUAACUCCGUGCCAGCAGCCGCGGUAAUACGGAGGGUGCGAGCGUUAUCCGGAUUUACUGGGUUUAAAGGGUGCGUAGGUGGGCUUAUAAGUCAGUGGUGAAAUCUCCGAGCUUAACUUGGAAACUGCCGUUGAUACUAUAGGUCUUGAAUUAUCUGGAGGUAAGCGGAAUAUGUCAUGUAGCGGUGAAAUGCUUAGAUAUGACAUAGAACACCAAUUGCGAAGGCAGCUUACUACAUAUAAAUUGACGCUGAGGCACGAAAGCGUGGGGAUCAAAC
rnacentral:rRNA from 1 species